rnacentral:tRNA from 1 species
UCUAAUAUGGCAGAUUAGUGCAAUGGACUUAAACCCCACACAUAAAGCUUAAGCUUUUUUUAGAA